AACCACCUCUCAUCCCUAGAAAUAUGGCUGUGGCCAGGAAGCAAGAGAGCCCAGCUGCCUGUGAUCUCCGCUUGGCCUGCUCCCUGGAGAAGAUGCCAACAGCACCCACGCUGGUGGAAGAGUGAAACAUCCACUAACCCCAUGAAGCAUAGGGACUGGGGCACAGUGUCAUCUUGUGGACUAUGCAGGAAUCUAACAGGAAAUCAGAUAGAGAGACGGACAGAGGUUACAGCCCGAGUCAGAUACUGAAUCAUGUCUCAUCAUCAGAUUGUUGAUGUAAUUGCUAAGUAAAAGUAUCUCACCAACA